UACGAAGGGGGCUAGCGUUGCUCGGAAUCACUGGGCGUAAAGGGUGCGUAGGCGGGGCUUUAAGGCAGGGGUGAAAUCCUGGAGCUCAACUCCAGAACUGCCUUUGAUACUGAAGAUCUUGAGUUCGGGAGAGGUGAGUGGAACUGCGAGUGUAGAGGUGAAAUUCGUAGAUAUUCGCAAGAACACCAGUGGCGAAGGCGGCUCACUGGUCCAUUACUGACGCUGAGGUGCGAAAGCGUGGGGAGCAAACAGG
rnacentral:rRNA from 1 species